GACGAACGCUGGCGGCGUGCCUAAUACAUGCCAGUUGAGCGCUGAAGGUUGGUACUUGUACCAACUGGAUGAGCAGCGAACGGGUGAGUAACGCGUGGGGAAUCUGCCUUUGAGCGGGGGACAACAUUUGGAAACGAAUGCUAAUACCGCAUAAAAACUUUAAACACAAGUUUUAAGUUUGAAAGAUGCAAUUGCAUCACUCAAAGAUGAUCCCGCGUUGUAUUAGCUAGUUGGUGAGGUAAAGGCUCACCAAGGCGAUGAUACAUAGCCGACCUGAGAGGGUGAUCGGCCACAUUGGGACUGAGACACGGCCCAAACUCCUACGGGAGGCAGCAGUAGGGAAUCUUCGGCAAUGGACGAAAGUCUGACCGAGCAACGCCGCGUGAGUGAAGAAGGUUUUCGGAUCGUAAAACUCUGUUGGUAGAGAAGAACGUUAGUGAGAGUGGAAAGCUCAUCAAGUGACGGUAACUACCCAGAAAGGGACGGCUAACUACGUG
rnacentral:rRNA from 1 species